CUUGGUCAUUUAGAGGAAGUAAAAGUCGUAACAUCGCUGAAGUAGGUGAACCUGCGGAAGGAUCAUUCAUAAUAAUGCCCGUGAUAGUCGCUCGCUGUAGAUAUCCACCUUGUGUGCAAUGUCAGUCGAUCUUCUUCAUGGAGAUCGACCAAACAUCAACCUUAUCUUUUAACUAUCGCGGCUGAAUGUCGCUGAAAUAAACAAUUCAAAAUACAACUUUAUCGCUGUAGAUUCUUGGCUCUCGCAUCGAUGAAGAACGCAGCGAAAUGCGAUACGUAAUGUGAAUUGCAGAAUUCAGUGAAUCAUCGAAUCUUUGAACGCAUAUUGCGCUCUUUGGUAUUCCGAAGAGCAUGCUUGUUUGAGUAUCAGUAAACACCUCUGAUGCGCUCGUAGAUGUUCGCUCGAUGUUGGACUUGAGCAAUCCCAACACCAAUCUUUUUCAGAUCGGUGGCGGGUUGCUUGAAAUGCAGGUGCAGCUGGACAUUCUCCUGAGCUAAAAGCAUAUUCAUUUAGUCCCGUCAAACGGAUUAUUACUUUUGCUGCAGCUAACAUAAAGGGAGUUUGACCGAUGCUCCGUGAUAGUCGCUGAUUUCACAAGGGAUGCUCGCUGAUAGUGCUCGCCUCGAUCUCAAAUCAAGUAAGACUACCCGCUGAACUUAAGCAUAUCAAUAAGCGGAGG
rnacentral:rRNA from 1 species